rnacentral:rRNA from 1 species
UACGAAGGGUGCAAGCGUUAAUCGGAAUCACUGGGCGUAAAGGGCGCGUAGGCGGCUUUAUAAGUCGGGGGUGAAAGCCUGUGGCUCAACCACAGAAUUGCCUUCGAUACUGUAGAGCUUGAGACCGGAAGAGGUAAGUGGAACUGCGAGUGUAGAGGUGAAAUUCGUAGAUAUUCGCAAGAACACCAGUGGCGAAGGCGGCUUACUGGUCCGGUUCUGACGCUGAGGCGCGAAAGCGUGGGGAGCAAACAGG